UACGUAGGGUGCGAGCGUUGUCCGGAAUUAUUGGGCGUAAAGGGCUCGUAGGCGGUUUGUCGCGUCGGGAGUGAAAACAUCGGGCUUAACUCGGUGCUUGCUUUCGAUACGGGCAGACUUGAGGCAUGCAGGGGAGAACGGAAUUCCUGGUGUAGCGGUGAAAUGCGCAGAUAUCAGGAGGAACACCGGUGGCGAAGGCGGUUCUCUGGGCAUGUUCUGACGCUGAGGAGCGAAAGUGUGGGAGCGAACAGGAUUAGAAACCCCCGUAGUCC
rnacentral:rRNA from 1 species